rnacentral:rRNA from 1 species
UUGUUGCGAGAUGAAUUGGGAGCUCGCUGCUGUCCUAGUCGUAGGCCACCUAGUCUUUGUUGGGCUGCCGCCGAUGGAUGAAAGCAAAGGAUCUUGGGAUCAAGUAGGGACAAGAAGGUAAGCUCGUGACGAGAACAUUAGCUGACAUUAUCGAUGAUGACAUGAAGUCUCUCGUAUUAUCUAGCUAAGGAGGUGGGACCGGGAUAGUCAGAGGCGGCGGGAGCUCCGUGUAGGACCCGGGAAGGGGAAGCGGUCGGAGUUGACGUCGAAGUACCUGCGGCGGCUGGCGGCGCACGAGCGCGCGACCAAGGUCUAGGAACAGUGGUUCCCGCAGCUGCUUGAGCAGAAGCAGUUAGCGGGGAGCGGGGAGCGGGGUAGGGCCGGACGGGGAGGGAAGGAGCGAGAAAUCGACGCGGAGGGAGACGGCCGAGACGUAGCCGCGACAAGGGCUUAUGGCGGCGGGAGGGUGCGCCGCGGCGGAAGGGGUUGGAAGACCUCGAACACGAACUGACGCAGCAGUACCUCCUGUUUCUGGACCUCAAGCACGAGCGGCAUCGGGGCACGACCUCUAGGAGCACCAGCGACCUUCGGCCUUGAGUAACGUUCGAGCGUACUGGUUGGUCUCGGAUGCCACGUGCGUCAAGACGAACAGGUAGGGCCUCCUCCAGCGGCACCACCUGCGGCGUUCGGACCUCGCAGAGAAAGAGACCUCUUUAUCCUCGCUUUACUCGUACUGUCAGUUUCUAACCGGUACGGGGAUUCGACGCACACGACCCUAUGGACCUCGGUCCUCACGUGUAAGACGUCUAGCCGUCGUGGUAGUAGUUCCGACCUUGUUUUCGUUCGCGUACAUGGUUACACAGUUCGCAGGUCUACAACCGAAACGUUGACGUAAAAUCUCUCACGUCAGUUCAGUUCUACGAAGGGUCGAAGGAGUCUACGAAAGGAUUGAACCCCUACGACUAACAGCUCAGAAGAGAACUUUGGUGGUCGUCGGCAUCAGAGUUCAAGACCGUCCUCUGUCCAGGAUAACUCACACAGGUCAGCGUGGAACUCUGAGAACAGAAAGACACUUGAUGUUCCCUAUUAUUGCUCAAACUAAAAGAGAACAAGUAGCACCUCUUACGUGGUUUCGACCUCUCCAACAAGUAGUUUUACUUUGUUCUGCAUUGAAUACGACUCUUCGUUCACCACUGACGGUUUGACUCACCAGAAUCAAGACGAUUAACCCGAUUAUGUCUGACGUUUUACGCUAAGCUCUAGUCAUCGAUAGGAUAACCUCCAUCAAGAACCUCGGAGUUUCUCCCGAGUCUAAACAGAAGACUACUAGGAAAAAGGACGGAGACUUGAGUUUACACGGACGUAUAAAGCCGCGGGUCCUAAAGUGUUCUUCACGUUGAAAAGACAAACGUUACCAAAGCCAACAACCUUAUACACUUCCGACCCGUCUCAAGACAACCUAUCCCAAGAUGAAGAUGAUCGUAUCCAUCGAAAUAAACGAUUUAAAUAUACAUAUUUCAAUCACAUUUCAACUCAGUGAAUAAAACCCGACGACAGUAAUUACAGUAC